GUACAGAGUAAAGUACCAUAAUGAAGGUCAGGAUAUUUAUAUCGGCAGACAUUUUGUGCUAAGAUUAAAAGUGUAUAUGUUAAUGUUUAAAUGUUAAUGGAAUAGAAAUAAUUUUAAACACAGACACUAGUGACAGAGAAGACUAAGUAAUUAAUUUUACUUUCUAAAUCUUACAAGGUCCCAUUGUAAGUAAGGGGUGAAAUUGAGUUUAGAACUGUCAAUUUUAGAAAUUACAAUCAAAGUCGUUGCCACAAAGACUGAGACAAACGCUUUGAAGUGACCGCAAAUUUAAGUUAUGGUAGCCAUUUUAGAUAAGCCAUGUAACGGACCGUUUUGCACAAAAGGGGUCAAAACCGCUUAGACAAUAAUCCCCUUUCAGAGACAGGCACAGCUACUGUAGAAUCACCAAAACUCACGAAUUGAAUACAAGGGAAUGCUCCAAACUCCCGAACGGCAUACAAGGGAAUGCUCCAAACACUCGAACUGGAACCUCACGAAUAGCUGCUAGCAGACGAACAGGAAAAGCUCCCAAGCGCCUUACACUCCUGGCAAUCAGUCCUUAGCAGCAUACAGUAAAUCCCCCCAAAGACGAGACAGAACUCCGUGGUGAGGGUCAAGCAGUGGUCUGUUUAAUGAGGGCUACCUGCCCAGUAUUUAUGCAGGUCUCCCACCUGGUGGACACUCCCCUAGGGGACCAAAUGGGAGACUGUAACAAAAGACAGACAUGUACCAAUUACAGACAUACAGAAGUAAAACAUCCCCACAAUGCAUCCUGGCUUCCUCCCCUCUGCCCUGGAGAAGUAAUUCAAUUAUCUCCCAGGACAAAGGCAAAACUCCAUUACACACGUGGGGACACAAAGACAGACUAUCACUUUAAAAUACAUAAUGGGACAAAUGGUACAGUAAAUAUAUACAUGUAACAUAUCCCCAGAUAGCUCAGGUCUGAGUGCACAUUAUUAGGUGAAUGGCACUCAUACCACACAAAUACAGUUUAAUUGCCAUGGAGCCAAAGUCUUUAAUUCCACAAACAGGCUCCAUGACAUAGCUAUCUGGGUUAAAACAUUCCCCCAACACAAAAUACCGAAUUUACAUGCAUUCGUUAAAUCCGUACGAAUUAGAACCAGGGGUUGGAGGUUCAGCGGUGCCUGCAAGUAAAAGUGUCCGGGUUUGGUGCAGGAAAGCCGGGCAGAAAAGCGCUGGCUGCCCGGGGAGCUCCAGAACACCGCCAUCGUGUGGCGGCUAAGUGUAACCGCGACCACCCAGUAACAAUCAAUUAAGCUGCGGUUAACCGCAGCUACUGGGUGGUCAAUUGCCGGCACACGCUCGUUAAGCCGCGGUUAACCGCAGCUUCAGGGAGGUAAAUGGAGGGAGUACUCCAGCUUCUGGGUGGCCAAUUAAGGUCGCCGGCCGGCUUCCCACGGCUCUGGGGAGGCUGAAAAGAAACUGUUUGUUCGGUAGAUAGAAUCUACCGAACGGCUGUGCAGAAAGGGAGAAAUAAAUCCUUCUGCACAGUAACAUUAACCCUUUAGCUGCCGGUCCAUAAUCCAAAGGCAGCAGGUGGGCAACCAGGCUCCUCCAAUGCAAUGUGGCGAGAUUGGUCUCGUCACAAGCCAAAUGACGUCAAAAUCGUCAUCAGGAAAAGUUAACUCUUUACUGGAUAGGAAGGUUUAGUGAAGCGAGACUGCCCUCUAUGGAUCAAAUACCUAAAUUGCGAUCUGCAGGUUGACC